CAGCUAGAGAAUGAGCAUUUAAAGGGGCAGCUGCAGCUGCAAGAGGCAAAGCUAAAAAAGGCCGAAGAUCUCCAACAAGCACUUCAGCUGAAUGUGAAACUUCAAGAGGCUCUUGCCUCAAAAGUUUUUGCUACUGAGAGCAGGAUUAUUUAUGCCAGAAACUUGGACGUGGUGGUGGGGGCUGAAGCUCCUGUAUCUUCCCACUCGUUAUCAAGUGUAGGAGCAAAAGGAUCCAGUGCAACCACUGCAGCCCUUACUGCAUCUGGGUCGCUUGUGCCCAGGCAGCACA
rnacentral:lncRNA from 1 species